CGACCCAAUAAAAGCCUUGUUUGGUUGAAACAGGCUUAAGACUUUUAGAUUUGUUGAAAAGCUCAUAUUUCAACGCUGGUCAUAGUAGCGUUCCAAAAACCCACUAGCUUUUAGGGUUUAAAUUACCUAAAUAACCUACCAUCCUCAUCAUUCCAAAUUUUGAAGAACGAUCGCAAGUAAAAGCCAGCAGGUAUGCAUGUUCUUAUUUUACUCACUUUUGCAAUCGAUUCUUCCCCAAAUUGCAAAUGCAGACAUGAAUCAGGUCACCAACGGAGCCCUAAAAUCCAAAAAAACCUCCAAAAAAACCCGACUGAAAGGAUACUGGAACGUCAAGUGGGCAAGCUGGUGGUGAUUUGCGGUUGAAGGGUUUGCUCUAAAGGAAAGGAUACCGGAACGUCAAGUGGGCAAGCUGGUGGUGAUUUGCGGUUGAAGGGUUUGCUCUAAAGGUGAUGAGGUGGAUCGUAUGGAUGACGGUCAAGCAACGUAGAAGAACCGAACACGACUUUUGAAGCUUCCGCAAUGUUUUAAUCUUACUUAGACUUUGUUCAUGGGUUGUAAACUAUUUCUUAAUCAACUUUUAAAACAUUCCAACUUAGUCAUUACUUGACUAAAGUUGACGUACUUAUGAACUCCAUUAAGGAAUGUUUUGUUACGUAA